ACGGCGGGACGGGGUGGAGGUAACGCGUGGGUAACCUGCCUCAUACAGGGGGAUAACAGUUAGAAAUGGCUGCUAAUACCGCAUAAGACCACAGCACCGCAUGGUGCAGGGGUAAAAACUCCGGUGGUAUGAGAUGGACCCGCGUCUGAUUAGCUAGUUGGUGGGGUAACGGCCUACCAAGGCGACGAUCAGUAGCCGACCUGAGAGGGUGACCGGCCACAUUGGGACUGAGACACGGCCCAA
rnacentral:rRNA from 1 species